rnacentral:rRNA from 1 species
UACGUAGGGGGCUAGCGUUGUCCGGAAUCAUUGGGCGUAAAGAGCGUGUAGGCGGCUCGGUAAGUCCGCUGUGAAAGUCCAGGGCUCAACCCUGGAAUGCCAGUGGAAACUGUCGAGCUAGAGUCCGGAAGAGGAGAGUGGAAUUCCUGGUGUAGCGGUGAAAUGCGCAGAUAUCAGGAAGAACACCCGUGGCGAAGGCGGCUCUCUGGGACGGUACUGACGCUGAGACGCGAAAGCGUGGGGAGCGAACAGG